UACGGGGGGGGGCAAGCGUUGUUCGGAAUUACUGGGCGUAAAGGGCCAGUAGGCGGCCAACUAAGUCGGAUGUGAAAUCCCCAGGCUCAACCUGGGAACUGCAUCCGAUACUGGAUGGCUUGAAUUCGGGAGAGGGAUGCGGAAUUCCAGGUGUAGCGGUGAAAUGCGUAGAUAUCGGAAGGAACAUCAGUGGCGAAAGCGGACUUACCUGGACC
rnacentral:rRNA from 1 species